rnacentral:lncRNA from 12 species
UAUAGUUGGUGUUACUAAAAAGUCACAUGACAAAAUGUGCUCAGUUGUGUGACUGUUCAGUUGAGCUUGAGACCUCAUGCUACAUUUGUAGCCAAUCACUGACCUCCUC